CGAUCCGAUCACAUAGUACGCUUGUAUGUUUGACAGAGUUAGUUGACACUUAAAAAUGACAACUUUUAACAAUGGAUCUCUUGGCUCUUGCAACGAUGAAGAACGCAGUGAAAUGCGAAACGUAAUGCGAUUUGCACGAACCUGUGAGUCAUCAAGUCUUUGAACGCACCUUGCACCGUAUGAGCAAUUGUACGGUAUACCUGUUUGAGAAUCGUAAACCCCCUCACUUACUUGUAAGUGGAGUUGUCGGCUUAUGAGUAAUCAUAUCUGAUCAAAUGGAUUAGGUCUGGAUCAGGCUGGUGGCCUGGGACACUGUGUGCUAGAGACUAGCAAUCUUAACCGAUUGUCUGUCUUCUCACGGUGCGUCCCGGGUCAUUCAAAGCUGGCCUGUUAAGGACCUUAAUUGCGCAUAGCCCUGUGCUAUGGCAACCCCCCUCUUUGAUCUCAAAUCAGGUAAGGCUACCCGCUGAACUUAA
rnacentral:rRNA from 1 species